AUGAACGGCUAGCGGCAGGUCCUAAUACACGCAAGUCGGGCACUGGAGAUAGGGAGAGCUUGCUUUCCCUUGAGAGUGGCGGCACGGGCGUGCGUAACACGUAAUGUAACCUACCCUUGUCAGGGGGAUAGCCUCUCGAAAGAGGAGAUUAAGACCGCAUAACAUUAUGAUAUGGCAUCAUAUUAUAAUCAAAUAUUUAUAGGACAAGGAUGGGCAUGCGGAACAUUAGCUAGUUGGUGUGGUAACGGCAUACCAAGGCUACGAUGUUUAGGGGAUCUGAGAGGAUGACCCCCCACACUGGUACUGAGACACGGACCAGGACUCCUACGGGAGGCAGCAGUAAGGAAUAUUGGUCAAUGGGCGGAAGCCUGAACCAGCCAUGCCGCGUUGCAGGAAGACGGCACCCUACGGGUUGUAAACUGCUUAUGCAGGGGAAUAAACCUUCGUAUGUAUACGAAGCUGAAUGUACUCUGAGAAUAAGGAUCGGCUAACUCCGCGCCAGCAGCCGCGGUAAUACGGAGGAUCCAAGCGUUAUCCGGAUUUAUUGGUUUAAAGGGUGCGUAGGUGGUUUUUUAAGUCCAGGGUGAGUGAAAGACGGCAGCCUUAACUGUCGGCCAGCCUUGCCUUUGAUACUGAAGAACUUGAAUGAACUAGAGGUUAGGCGGAAUGUGACAAGUAGCGGUGGAAUGAAAUGCAUAGAUAAUGUCACAGAACACCAAUUGCGAAGGCAAGCUUACUAUGGUUUUAUUGACACUGAGGUACGAAAGCGUGGGGAUCAAACAGGAUUAGAUACCCUGGUAGUCCACGCCCUAAACGAUGAAUACUCGAUGUUGGCGAUAUACGGUCAGCGUCUAAGCGAAAGCGUUAAGUAUUCCACCUGGGGAGUACGCCCGCAAGGGUGAAACUCAAAGGAAUUGACCGGGGGCCCGCACAAGCGGAUGGAGCAUGUGGUUUAACUCGAUGAUACGCGAGGAACCUUACCCGGGCUUGAAAGUUAGUGAAUUGAGCAGAGACGCUCAAGUCCUUCGGGACACGAAACUAGGUUGCUGCAUGGCUGUCGUCAGCUCGUGCCGUGAGGUGUUGGGUUGAGUCCCGCAACGAAGCGCAACCCUAUGUUUAGUUGCCAGCAUGUAAUGGUGGACUCUAACAGACUGCCUAUGCAAAUAGAGAGGAAGGAGGGGACGACCCGUCAGUCAUCAUGGCUCCUACGUCCGGGCUACACACGUGCUACAAUGGUCAGUACAGAGGGCCGCUACCUGGCAACAGGAUGCCAAUCUCUUAAAGCUGAUCACAGUUCGGAUCGGGGUCUGCAACUCGACCCCGUGAAGUUGGAUUCGCUAGUAAUCGCGUAUCAGCAAUGACGCGGUUGAAUACGUUCCCCGGGCCUUGUACACACCUGCCCGUCAUAGCCAGGUAAGCCUGGAAGUGCCUGAAGUGCGUAAACGUAAGGAGCGUCCUAGGGUAAAGGUCGGUAACUGGGGCU
rnacentral:rRNA from 1 species